GAGGGUAUGGCUCAGCAGUAAAGUGCAUGCUUAGCACGCACGGGGUCCUGGGUUCAAUCCCCAGCGCCUCCU
rnacentral:tRNA from 1 species